AUGAUGAACUCGAGGUUUGCGAUGGCUGCGUGGUGGCUUUGUGGAUUCCUCCCGCUCCUAGCCGUGGCCGCGGCCGCUGCGGAUGGGGCGAAGGGGAGCUCAGAGCCGCUGAUCCGGCUGUCGACGGAGAAUGGGCAUGCCCCUACCCCCGCGCCUCGCCCCGCCGCGUCGGCGGCGGAAGAAGGGGUGAUGAAGUGGGCCGUGCUCGUCGCGGGCUCCUCCGGCUACGGCAACUACCGGCACCAGCGACUGUGUGUUGUUGUUGAUGCACGGCACGACGUACAGGCCGAUGUGUGCCACGCGUACCAGAUCCUGAAGAAGGGAGGCCCCAAGGAUGACAACAUUGUGGUGUUUAUGUACAAUGACAUCGCGGACAGCCCUCACAACCCAAGGCGUGGAGUCGUCAUCAACCAUCCUAAAGGCAAAGAUGUUUACCAUGGUGUUCCCAAAGACUACACUGGCGAGCAGGUUACUGCUAAGAACUUGUAUGCGGUUCUCCUGGGGAACAAAACCGCGGUUACUGGAGGGACUAUCCUUAUCAAGCUUGACGGACCAAAUGUUUAUGCUGACGACUUCAUCAAAGUGUUGCGGCAAAAGCAUGCUUCCAAAAGCUAUUCGAAAAUGAUCAUAUAUGUUGAAGCGUGUGAAAGUGGUAGCAUCUUUGAGGGUUUGUUGCCACAAGAUCUUAAUAUUUAUGUUACAACGGCAGCAAAUGCGGUAGAAGGUAGCUGGGCAGCAUACUGCCCUAGGAUGGAAAUGCCACCUCCACCUGAAUAUGAUACAUGUUUAGGUGACUUAUACAGUGUUUCUUGGAUGGAGGAUAGUGAAACUCACAAUCUAAAGAAGGAAACAAUCAAGCAGCAGUACGAGGUAGUUAAAGCGAGAACGGCACCCCUGAAUGAGUCCAGUAUAGGUUCUCAUGUCAUGGAGUAUGGUGACACGACAUUCAAGGGUGACAUGCUUUUCCUCUAUCAAGGUUUCGAUCCUGCAAAGUCAUACAUCCCAAACAGGCAGCGUUUGCCCAGCCUUAAGGGUGCAAUCAAUCAAAGAGACGCCGAUAUUCUUUUCAUGUGGAACAAGUAUGAGAAGUUGAAUGGGGGAUCAGAAGAGAAGCAAAGGGCCCUCAGGGAGGUCAAACUGUUCUACACAGGAAGCAUCUGGACAGCAGUGCGAGUUUUUGAGUCCCAGUGCGGAUCACUCACUUGGUAUGGCAUGAAACACAUGAGGGCGUUCGCAAACAUCUGCAACAAUGGCGUCUCCAAGACCAAGAUGAAGGAGGCAAGCAUCAGCGCUUGUGACGGCUACGACUUGGGGAAGUGGAGCCCGUUGGUUCAAGGGCACAGCGCCUAA
rnacentral:rRNA from 1 species